CAUUUCCGGUCCGGUCUCAUCUGGAGACAUGCAGCUGCCUCAGUCAGAGAAGUAUCUCGAUCACUAAUGUGUUCUGUUGUUUAUUCUACCGUUACUGACACGGCUAACAGUGUAGCAAGGCUAAUAGCAGGUGGCUAACUCUAACGUUAGCUUCAUAUCCCAUGGUGCUUCAGCGUUAACUGGGCGUGACCGAGACCAGCACAGCGGGGAACAUGGUGAAGUGGGUUGAACUGAAACUUGUUGACUUAUUGUGUUUUUCACAAACUGGUUUAUUUCCCGUUGAGGCGGACCACUCUCCUCCGUGCGUCCCUGAGCUGCUGCUUCAGAUCCGUCACUCUGCUGUGCUGUGAGGUAGUUAGUGGAUGAAGAUUGGCAUGAGGUCGCUGUAGCGCCAUCUACAGGAUAAGUCAGGGAACUUUUCAAAUGGAGGAACAUUUUCGAAGUGAAACCGAAUCUUAUUCUCCGCAUUUUAUUUCUGAAAAUAUCGGCGAA